UGGGCGUAAGAGCUCGUAGGCGGUCUGUCGCGUCUGCUGUGAAAACCCGAGGCUCAACCUCGGGCCUGCAGUGGGUACGGGCAGACUAGAGUGCGGCAGGGGAGAAUGGAAUUCCUGGUGUAGCGGUGGAAUGCGCAGAUAUCAGGAGGAACACCGAUGGCGAAGGCAGUUCUCUGGGCCGUAACUGACGCUGAGGAGCGAAAGCGUGGGGAGCGAACAGGAUUAGAUACCCUGGUAGUCCACGCCGUAAACGUUGGGCGCUAGAUGUGGGGACCAUUCCACGGUUUCCGUGUCGCAGCUAACGCAUUAAGCGCCCCGCCUGGGGAGUACGGCCGCAAGGCUAAAACUCAAAGGAAUUGACGGGGGCCCGCACAAGCGGCGGAGCAUGCGGAUUAAUUCGAUGCAACGCAAAGAACCUUACCAAGGCUUGACAUACACGAGAACGCCCUAAAAAUAGGGAACUCUUUGGACACUCGUGAACAGGUGGUGCAUGGUUGUCGUCAUCUCGUGUCGAGAGAUGUUGGGUUAAGUCCCGCAACGAGCGCAACCCUCGUUCUAUGUUGCCAGCGCGUAAUGGCGGGAACUCAUAGAAGACUGCCGGGGUCAACUCGGAGGAAGGUGGGGAUGACG
rnacentral:rRNA from 1 species